rnacentral:rRNA from 1 species
UACAGAGGUCUCGAGCGUUAGGCGGAAUCACUGGGCUUAAAGCGUGUGUAGGCGGGUCGUUAAGUGCCUUGUGAAAUCCCAUGGCUCAACCAUGGAACUGCUGGGCAUACUGGCGAUCUUGUGCCACCUAGGGGUGAGCGGAACAGAUGGUGGAGCGGUGAAAUGCGUAGAUAUCAUCUGGAACGCCAAUGGUGAAAACAGCUCGCUGGGGGUGUGCAGACGCUGAGACACGAAAGCCAGGGGAGCGAACGGG